AGUGAACGCUGGCGGUAGGCCUAACACAUGCAAGUCGAACGGCAGCACAGUAAGAGCUUGCUCUUACGGGUGGCGAGUGGCGGACGGGUGAGGAAUACAUCGGAAUCUACUUUUUCGUGGGGGAUAACGUAGGGAAACUUACGCUAAUACCGCAUACGACCUACGGGUGAAAGCAGGGGAUCUUCGGACCUUGCGCGAUUGAAUGAGCCGAUGUCGGAUUAGCUAGUUGGCGGGGUAAAGGCCCACCAAGGCGACGAUCCGUAGCUGGUCUGAGAGGAUGAUCAGCCACACUGGAACUGAGACAUGGUCCAGACUCCUACGGGAGGCAGCAGUGGGGAAUAUUGGACAAUGGGCGCAAGCCUGAUCCAGCCAUACCGCGUGGGUGAAGAAGGCCUUCGGGUUGUAAAGCCCUUUUGUUGGGAAAGAAAAGCAGCAGGUUAAUACCCCGCUGUUCCGACGGUACCCAAAGAAUAAGCACCGGCUAACUUCGUG
rnacentral:rRNA from 1 species